GACAGAGGUGCCAAGCGUUAGGCGGAAUCACUGGGCUUAAAGCGUGUGUAGGCGGAGUUCUAAGUACCUUGUGAAAUCCCACGGCUCAACCGUGGAACUGCUUGGUAUACUGGUUCUCUUGAGCCACCUAGGGGCAACCGGAACAAACGGUGGAGCGGUGAAAUGCGUAGAUAUCGUUUGGAACGCCAAUGGUGAAAACAGGUUGCUGGGGGUGUGCUGACGCUGAGACACGAAAGCCAGGGGAGCAAACGGG
rnacentral:rRNA from 1 species